rnacentral:rRNA from 1 species
GCUUGUCUCAAAGAUUAAGCCAUGCAUGUCUAAGUAUAAACAACUUUAUACAGUGAAACUGCAGAUGGCUCAUUAAAUCAGUUAUAAUUUAUUUGAUGAUUAACUUUACUACAUGGAUAACCGUAGUAAUUCUAGAGCUAAUACAUGCGAAAAGACCCGACUUUUGGGAAGGGUUGUAUUUAUUAGAUUCAAAACCAAUGAGCCGCAAGGCUGUUUCCGCAAGGAAAGGGUGGUGAUUCAUAAUAACUGUGCGAAUCGUAUUGGGCACUUGCUGCCGACGAUGGAUCAUUCAAAUUUCUGACUUAUUAACUUUCGAUGGUAAGGUAGUGGCUUACCAUGGUCGCCAUGAGUAACGGAGGAUCAGGGUUCGAUUCCGGAGAGGGGGCCUGAGAAAUGGCCACCACAUCCAAGGAAGGCAGCAGG